ACCUUGUUCUUGAGCUGUCCGGUUGCCACAGGGUCGGACCUGGAGGCUGCAGACCAUCAUGGCCCUUUGCAGUGUUCGGAAACAUAUACGCUCCCCCCAAAAAAACAUUCCUUGGAAAAGCUGAACAAAAUGAGUGAAAACUCAUACCGUCGUUCUCAGCGGAACUGAGGUCCAGCACGUUGCCUCCAGCAGGGACUGUUGGAGUGAGGGACAGCUUCCACUAGUCCCUAUAGGUUCCACCACCCAGGGCAUCUGCAGGGACAGUUGCCGUGGGAGGUCCGCUGCCUGCUGUCGAGGAAGAUGGUCAAUGCUUCUGAGAAACAGGCCCUGCGGGUUCCUGGAUUUGGUGUGGCCUGGCAUCCACGGUGCACCCGGUGCUGGCGGGUGGCCCAGGACGGGGCAGUUGCCUUGAGAGGCCCACCGCCUGCUGGCAUGACAGAUGGUCAGUUCUUCCGAGCAGUGGAAUCUCCAUGGAGUCGUGGAGUCGGUGUGGCCUCGCAUCCACAGUGCACCCCGUGCUGGUGGAUGGCUCAGGACGGGGCAGUUGCCGUGGGAGGCCUGCCGUCUGCUGAAAGGAAGAUGGUUGAUGCUUCUGAGCAAUGAAGGCCCCAUGGAGUCCUGGAUUCGGUGUGGCCUUGCAUCCGUGGUGCACCCCAUGCUGGUGGAUGGCUCAGGACGGGGCAGUUGCCAUGGGAGGCGCAGGCCUGCUGGAAGGAAGAUGGUCGAUUCUCCCAAGCAACAAAGGCCACGUAGAGUCCUGGUUUCAGUGUGGCCUGGUAUCCACAGUGCACCCCAUGCUGGUGGGUGGCUCAGGAUGCACACUCAUUUCCUCUGCACCUUCCCGGUGUCAUUGGCAUGGAAGGAAGGCCCUUGUCCAAGAAGGAUGGUCUUCGUCUUGUGUGAUCUUUGAGAUGCCAUGAGGCCCCUGGAUACAAAUGGUGUGGGCUCCUUUGGAGGCUUUUGGAUUUCUCCUGAAUGUGGCGUUGGUAUGGAAGGAAGGCCAGUGACCGCAAGGGAUGACUUUGAUCUUGGGAGAUUUUUGGAGAUGGCAAAGUGCUUCUAAACAUGUUUGGCGUGGUCUCCUUCAGGCUGAUGGAUACCUCAGGAUGGUGGCAUUGGCAUGGAAGGAAGGACUGUGUCUGUGAGGGAUGAUCAUCCUCUCAUGUGAUCCUUGGAGAUGCCAGGAAGCCCCUUGACACAUGUGGCAUGGGCUCCUUCAGAGGCUUUUGGAUCCGUCGUGAAUGUGGCAUGGGCAUGCAAAGAAAGACAGAGGCUGCAAGGGAUGAACUUCAUCUUGGGAGAUCCCUGGAGAUGGCAGGGAACCCAUGGACACAUGUGGCAUGGGCUCCUUUGGGUGCCGGUGGAUCCCUUCAUAUGGUAGUGUUGGUGUAAAAGGCAAACCCGUGUCAUGAGGGAUGGUCAUCAUCUCGUGUGAUCGUUGGAGAUGGCAGGAAGCCCUGGACAUACAUGGUGUGGGGGCUCCUCCAGAGGCUGUUGGAAUCCUCCUGGAUGUGGUGUGGGCAUGGAAGGAAGGCCAGUGGAGACAAUGGAUGAUCUUGUUCUUAGCAGAUCACUGGACGUGGCAGGGAGUCCUAGGACAUGUGUGGUGUGGGCUUCUUCAGGUGCUGGUGGUGUUGGCAUGAGGAAAGGAGGUAUCUUCGAGGGACAAUCUUCUUCUUGUGCGAUCCUUGGAGAUGCCAUGAGGCCCCUGGACACAUGUGGUGUGGGCUCCUUUGGAGGCUGUUGUAUCCCUUCUGAAUGUGGCGUGGGCAUAGAAGGAAGGCCAGUGGCCAUGAGGGACAAUCUUGGUCUUGGGAGAUCCUGGAAAUGAUAGGGAGUCCCUUGAUAUGUGUGGCAUGGGCUCCUUCAGGUGCUAGUGGAUUCCUUAGGAUGGUGGUGUUGGCAUGAAAGGCAGGCUUGUAUCAUGAGGAAUGAUUGUCAUCUUGUAUGAUUCUUGGAGAUGGCAGGAAGCCCCUGGAAACACAUGGUGUGGACUCCUUCACAGGCUGUUGAAACCCUCCUGAAUCGAACUGAGGUGUUGUGGCCAUGGAAGUAAGGCCAGUGGCUACGAGGGACAGUCUUCAUCUUGGGAGAUCCCUAGAGAGGGCAGGGAGCCCCUUGACAUGUGGAAUGUGGUCUCCGUUGGGUGCUGGUGGAUCCCACAGGUGGUCUGGCAUGGAAGAAGUCCAGAGGCUGCGAUGGAUCAUCUUUGUCUUGGGAGAUUCCUGGAGAUGGUGGGGAGCCCCUGGGCACGUGCAGCAUAUGUGGCGUGGGCUUCUUCAGGUGCUGGUGGAUCCCUCAGGAUGUUCAUUGUGGAACCAGCACAGAUUUUCAUACGAAAGUUAUUUCUUUUUAACCUCAAAAAGUGACAGAAUGGAGUGUAUCAUGAAAAAGUCUGACAUCAAAACCUCAAAAUGUGAUAUUGAUUGGGUGAGAUAGAAUUCCAUGGAAUUUCAUUGCCAAACCAGUGAAGUGCUAAUUUUGACAUUUGUACCAGCUAACGUAGCCGUGAAGAAACACACCAAUACACUUCUAAGGACAGCAUAGACCAAGAUCUAGGUUUCAUAUGGAUGAAUUUAUUCUUCCCUUUGAGGCAAGACAAGAAGGAAAGAAAGUAUUGGGAAUAAUGCUGCCCUCCCAUCCUCAAGGGCCAGUGGGAACUCUAAUAUUGAUUGGUUUUCACAGAAUUCCAUGGACUUUAACUGCUGAAGUAAUGAUGUGCUGAUUUUGUCAUUUGUACCAGCUAACUCAUCUGGGAGGCAACAAAACAAUACUCUCCUGAGGUUAAUGUGGACCAAAAACUAGAUUUCAUAUAAAAGAGUUUAUUCCUUCUACUUGAGGUGUGACAUGAAGGAAAGUAAUGGAAAUAAUUCUGCCCUCCCAUUCUCAAGGGCCAGGGGGAAUUCAAAUAUUGAACGGAAGUGAUUUUGGAAUUGCAUGGAAUUCUCACUGCCAUCCCAAAGAAAUGCUGAUCUUGUCACUCUUACCUGUUUCAUUCCCUGGGGCAGAACAAAAGGACGCACUCCAAAGAUGGGCAUGAACCAAGAACUGGGUUUCAUAUAAAAUAUUUUAUUCUGUCCUCUUGAGAUGUGACAUGAGAAAAGUAUUGAGAAUACUUCUAUCACCUCAUCUUCAAGAAUCCGUAGGAAUUCUCCCAUGGUGGACUUUAUGGUUAACCUGAACAGGUCUUGGAAAAAGGACUUUAAACAUUCUCCUGUUCUGUGGAAUAAGUAUACUUUUUUCUGGACAUACACGUUGUCAGUGAGUUCCAUGUGAUACUAGAGUUGCAUAGAUUUUUAACCUUUACGCCAAUGAAGAUCUGAGGCAAACAUUGCCCCUUUUUUAGAAGUUUGCAUUUGUCACUGAUAACUGUAAUAAUUGAUCUUGUUGAAAAGCCUGGGAAAUGAAGAUCUGAUACGUCACUUUUACCGGCUUCCUCAACUGAAAAAGAAUACAAUGAAACACGCUGAGAAUUUUUGUGCUUUCUCAGUCUUGCUGAUGAUCUUUCUAUGGGCCUGAAGCGUGGAGAGUGCCAGAGAGGCUGAUCCUCAGCAGUGUGGCAGAGGAAAGUUGGGUGCGACUAAGGGGUAUGCGGUGCCCAAAUGCCACUGGGUCCUCAGCAGUACCACCUGAUUGGAAGUGAUAUUGGUGGAAGACAACAUUUUGCCGCUUGGAAUUCUCACCUCCACACCAAAGAAGUACUGUUUUUGUCAUUUGCACCAGCUUCUUUCUCCAGGAAAGAUCAAAACGAUGCACUGCAAGUGUGGUUGGUCCAGAUAGCUGCCUUAUCCAACUGCCUCCUUUGGACCACUUCAUCAUGGGACAGCUUGAUGCAAUCUACUUGACAAGACCCUGGAACCCCACACCCCUCAUGGAACCAGUGUCCACCUCCCAGUCACAGUGUGACCCCAGGGAACUCUUGCCUGCUUGCUUUAAACCCACCACUUAAAAGUCUCCACAGAAAACCUGUUUGAAUAGUACCUUUGACCCAAUAAGGGCAUUGGCCCAUGGGUGUCUCUCUCUCUCUCUCUCCCUCUCUCUCUCUCUCGCUCCCUGACCUCUGCGUGUGGACUCCAGGCAUGCCAUAUACCCCUCAGGACCUGAAGCAAGAGAAUGAAUUAAAGAAAACUCCAGAGAAUGAGCUGACAACCUACUCCCUGGUCACUGGCUCUCCAUGCCUACCUGUGGUCUCUUGGACACCCUUGCAGAAGAUGACUUCCUGGGAACUCUUCUGGGAGUGAAUGUUAUCAGCAAAUUCCCAAAACAACACCCCUUAGACAAAAAGCCUCCUCACCUAUGCAUUGCCUAGACCACCCACUAAAGGUGAUGGCCACAAAGAGGUGGAUUUGUUGAGUUGGUGCCAUUCCUUCUACUGCCAGCUUCACCAAAACAAUGACACAGUCUUCCUUCUGCAUGGAGACUCUUCUCUUUCCUGUGUUGCAGUGGAUGCCUCCUGCAGAUAAGAAAUGCUUAACUGAGAAAUGCUCAUGUUGGGAUAUCAUCGAUGAGACUUUAAUUUGGGCAUGGUGACUGUUUCCCUUGCUGCCACUUGACUCAAUCCCAGGAGCCUCAGUAGAGGAUAUAAUAUUACACAAGAUGCUCAAAAUGGUGGAAUUGCUCAGUGCUCCCAUAAAUAUACAUUUAUAAUUUUCAUUUGCCACAUGGUAAACUGAAAAAUACAGACUAUAUUAAAAAGAAACUGCAUGAUUUUUUUUCAAAAAUUCAAAGCAUAUUUAAAUAAUAUAUAAAUUAAAUGCCCUCCUCUCUUCCAAUUCUGUCCCUAUACUUUUCCUCUAUUAAGUGAACUACAUGCAUUCUUUUAGUGGAUAGAUGCACACAAACACACAAGCCAUUAUGGGGAAGGAUCCACGUGUGUGGCCAUAUUGUAACACAUUUUUCUGCAAAUUACCUCUUUCAUUUAACAGCCCUUAUUCAAUGGCCUUUUUCUUUUUCAGUAGUACAUACACAUCUGUGUCAUUUGUUGAAUGACGACAUGAAUGUUUUGUAGAUAAAAUAUAAUUAAAUGUUUUAAGCAUUUCUCACUCAUAGAUAUUUAUGUUAGCACCAAAUUUCUGUGCAAUGAACCUCCCUAUAUAUCAGUAAUUUUGCAUUUGUCUAUAAUAUCAUAAUAAAUUACUUAUCAGUUGAAUUACUGGGAUUAAGUAUGUGCACACUUUAUAUUUAUAUUUUGAAAAUUAUUGCAAGAUUGCCUUCAAAAAUGUGGUUAACAACUUUAUCUUCAAAUGGCAAUGAAUGAGAUUGCCAGCUUUCCUACAACCUCACAGACAAUGGAUUUUAUAAAUAUUUAACAUUUUUGCCAAUGUGAUCACCCAAACUAUUGUCUUAAAUUGUAUUUCUUUUGUUUUUGAGUUUGGUCAUUUUUUCAUGUUUAUUAGCCAUCUGUAUUUUUUAAUUUCUUCUUUAUGUCCAAUUUUGUGGGUGGGAGGAGGAUUUAGUCUCUUCCUGAUUUCGAAGAGCUCAUUUACUAUUUCGGGAAAUAAGAUUUGGAUUGUCAACCAUUAUAGCUAUUUUUUACACACUUUUCAACUUUGUUUUUGUUAUAAGAAUGUGUAUGAUUGUUACAUGUCCAAGUAUAACCAUGUUCGCUUUUAUGGCUUCUGAGUUUCAUGUCAUUUUUGGAAAGAUAUAUAUAUUGAGUCCAUAAAACCCUUCACCUAUGUUAAAUUUGAAUUCUUUUGUGUUUUUUUAAUUCAAAUUCUUAAAUCAUGAGAAAUUUUUUUGUUUUGAAAUCUUAAAGUUGCCAAGUUACUUGCCAUUACUUGCGAUUAUUUGCCAAUAAUUGCCCAUUUAUCUGUACCGCCAUCUUGCGCAUAUGCUGUACUCUCAUCUGUGACUGGCUCCAUUUUUGUUCUGUGGAUUUGUGUGUCUCUUCUUCUGCCUCCUGUCUCGUGUCUUCUCGUUGGAAGAAAUUACAGUUUAGACUGCAAUUUCAUCAACUUUAAUAAAUCAAUUGAGGGGAGAAUUGGUUUUUAAAAAUAUUAAGUAAGUCUUCGUAUCCAAGGACAAGGUAUGUCUUUUCUUAUUCAAUAAUUUUAAUUACUGUUAAUAUUUUCACUGUGGUGAUGGGAGUUUUUCUUUUAAUUUAUUUUCUUGUUCAUUUUUUAUAUCUAAAGUUUUUGUUUUGUUUUGGGGGUAAGUUGUCACCUUACUGUUUCUUGUUGCUUUUCAGAUUUUUUCAAAGUAUAGACUAAAUCCUUCACAAAUAUUUAAAGUUUUUAUUUUCCCCCUUCAUAUUGAUCCUGAUUUUAGUUAUGUUGACAAAGUCCACAGACUGUUACUAUCAGAACACUUGAACAGUUAUGGAAAUAUUACCUACCCUUGAUUUAAUCAGAGUUUAAUGGUAUGCUUCUUUGGUUUGACUGGCACAUUGUCGCUGGUCAUUUCCUCCCAAAGACCACCAGAAAGAGCUAUGAUCAAGCAAAGCUGAGUUUGUUAAACUUACCUGCAGCAAGGGAAAACACCACCUUGAUAGGGUUUAAUAAUGUUUCAAAAUCAAGAAAUGAGGCUUUGGGGUCUGGGCAGGGAACUAAUUAGAAAUGGGCAAAAUUUGUCAUGCAAUACCUUAAGAUUUGUGGGAAAGUGAGAUGAGGUUCUUAAUGUGAGUAUUGAUGGUGAAAUCAUUUUCUAGGUGAGCUGUUUGCCUAUAUAAAGAUGUUAUCAAUGACAGAAGAACUAUUUGCCUAGAUAAACAAACUGAAUUUAUUUAUUGGUUUACAGUUUUAUCUUGCUGGGCAGGACUCUGCUGGGGGUGGUAUCAGGUCUUAUUCCCAAUAGGUAAGUUAUUUGGAUAUGGGUGGUCUUAAUCAUCAAUGUGUAAAAUGCUGAUUUUAAGUGCGAAAUACUUUGUCUAUUAUGUUAGGAAAGUCUGCCACCUUUUAUCUUUUUUAAGGAAUUUUAAUCAAAACCAGGUGGUAGAUAUAAUCAAAUUGUUUUGCAGAAUCAAUUUUCCUGUUCUCUUUAAAGACUUUUAUCACUGUGAAUUAAUUUACUAUUAUUGCAACUUCCUUUAAUUCCUUGAAUGAACAGACCCUACUGGUUUUAAAAAUGUUUUAUUCUUUUAAUUUACUACUUAAUUGUGGGUAUUUUAAUUUGAUUUGGAAUUUUUACAAGUAUACAACUAAGUGAGAUUGAUGUGUGAUUUUUCUUUUUUGUGCUAUUUUUGUCAUGUUUUGAUAUCAGAUAUUCUGGUUGUGUUAAAAUAAUUUUGAGGAUUUUCUUCUUAUACUGUGUUCUAGAGUGGGUAAAAAAGCCCUAGUCUCACUAUCAGUGUUUAAGUGAACACAUCAGUGACAUCAUCUGGACUCUCCUUUGUUUUUGCUGGUUUGGAGUUAGGACAUCUAGAAGUUUUUUUCUUUUUUUCCUUUUUUUGUAUGGUUAUUGCUUGUUCUUUGUUUUGUGUCAAAUUUAACCUGUUUUCUCUUAGCAAAUCACAGCUCAUGCAGAUUUUCAAACACAUUAGCAUUGUUAUACAAAGUGUUCUUUCAUCAUUCUAUUAAAUUUCCAUUUUCAUUCCAGUUAUAGUUAUUUCUGCUGUGCCUUUGUUAAUGAAUAAGUUUAAACAGUGGAUGUUUAGCAUCACUAGCCUUCCCCUUCCAUCUCCCUUAAUCAGGUCCUUGGUAUAAUUUAUCAGGUAUUUUUUAAGGUUCUAAUUUACUUAUAUAUAUUGUUUCUGUAUUCUUUUGUUUCUUUUCUUAAUAAAUUCUUAAACCUGUGUAA
rnacentral:antisense_RNA from 1 species